AAGAUUUUAAGUUAAUCAAACUGGUAGCCUUCAAAUCUACAAAUGGGGCCACCCAAAUCUUG
rnacentral:tRNA from 1 species